rnacentral:lncRNA from 1 species
GCAAGUCACGACAAUGGAUACCACUCCACUCUCCAUAACAAACUCUACAUAGCCCUGAACGGCCCUCUGACACCACUACUCUCCAUAACAAACUCCGCAUGGUCCCUAAAGGCCCACUACCAGGCAGUUACAGAUGUCACUGUCAAUUAGUUGCACUCUCUAUCUGUAAAAAAAGCUCCAGAUACAUUCUUCUCUAAACUCAAAACUCUAUCUCGAAACUCUGCUAAAAUUUUCAUUCGAGCACUCCAUUNN